UACGAGGGGUGCAAGCGUUGCUCGGAAUUAUUGGGCGUAAAGGGCAAGUAGGUGGUCUCAUUUGUCUGGGGUGAAAGCCUUGAGCUUAACUCAAGAAGUGCCCCGGAAACGGUGAGACUCGAGUAUUGGAGAGGGUCGUGGAAUUCCCGGUGUAGCGGUGAAAUGCGUAGAGAUGUGGAGGAACACCAGUGGCGAAGGCGGCUUUCUGGUCUGUAACUGACGCUGAGGCGCGAAAGCGUGGGGAGCAAACAGG
rnacentral:rRNA from 1 species